rfam:Salmo salar isolate Sally breed double haploid chromosome ssa07, whole genome shotgun sequence.
AGCUCAGUCUGUAGAACAUGGCGCUUGCAACGCCAGGGUUGUGGGUUCGAUUCCCAC